AACUCCUAACUUCGUGAUCUGCCCACCUCAGCCUCCCAAAGUGUUGGGAUUACAGGACACGGCCAGCCAUGGGCAGGGCAGUGCCUUUCAAAGCUGCGUUUAUGGAUCGCUUAGCCCUCAUCCAGCCCUCCAGGGAGCAGGUGCAGAGACUCACAGCAGAGCACCUUCCACACCAGACACCCGGCAUAAGGAACAGGUAUGGAGCUCCAGGCUGUGCGACUUUACCGAGAGCCAUUUUUUGCCUUCUCAGUGACAUGUGGAUAUGCAGGUUUUGAUGACACGCAGCCAAUAGCCAGAUCUGCUGGAAAAGGAAAAGUGAUUCGACUUUUAAAGGAAAAAUUUCAUUUUAAGAAAAUAAUCAUGAUUGGAGAUGGAGCUGCAGACAUGGAAGCCUGUCCUCCUGCUGUAUGAAGGGUACUAAUUUUUUUUUUUCAGGUUGUGCUUUUGUUUUAUUUAUUUAUUUAUUAUUUCUUCAUUUUUUUUUGAGAUGGAGUUCACUCUUGUU